CAGCCGUCCGUUUAGUGGUAGAUAAAGCAUUUACUAUCUCUGUAAACUUUUAUAAGACGUUUUAGUUUAGAUCACUAAAACGUUUUAUAAAAGUUUACAGAGGGGGUAGAAUGAAAGGCGCGGUUCGUGCUGUCAUACUGUAUGACAGCUCCAGAUGAGGGAUGGUUCGAACUGUUUUCUUCUCGUCUACCGUCAUUCCGUCGAAGAUCCUGAAAGGCAUGGUCCGCGGACCUUGGUGGCACAAAGUGUGCCCGUUGGCGCUUCCGACGGACGUGGAACACUUGCUGCCCGUCGCUGUCCUUUCUCCUUUGGUUAAGGUGUGGAGAGUAGACUCGAGAGACCAAGUUGGAGACCACGAAAGUCAUGGUCCUCGCUGGCACGAGUGUGCCCGUUGGUUCUUCUUGUGACGGAUGACGUGGAAGAGCUGCUGCCCGUCGCUGUCCUUUCUCCUCCUUCGAUUUUUUUUUUGAAUAUUGGCAGGUGAACUGCCAAAUUCAUUGAUCAGAAGAAGGUGUUACAAGAAUCCUCAGAGGAGGAAAGCACUGCAAAGGCAGCGCAAAAAGAAAAGAAAGAAAAGCCCUGUCGGCAGCACGACAAACACAGGCUCUACCAUCAAACGUGAACACCAUCGGAACCCAUCGGCGGGAUCACCAAGAUGACGCCUCCAAGGAGGAAAACGAAGUUGAGGACUCCGCCGUCAUCCGAUCUGGCAUUGGCCGAUCUUAGGUUUUCACCCGGAGAUCUCACGCAGUUGGGAGGGAAGGGCAAACGACUCCACAACGAUACCUCCAAGGAGGAAGACGACAUCCGUGGAUGCCGUUACCGCCAGCAACGACAGAGUCGAUGCAUGAUUUUCAUCCGGAGCCGAGUCUUCCACCAACAAUCCAAGGAUCCGAGGCCACCAGCUCCACAAUGCAACAAGAGCCCAAACCAACACUACUAGAAACGAAUUGGUCAAGCCGCAUGCAGGAACUCGGCGAGCACACGCCAACCCGGCCGGUCUGCACCGCCGCUCGCAGGCCCUGGGCGAACCAAGCCGUAUCUGGCCAUCCUCUACCUCCGUGCGCAGAACUGGGCGAUCCUCCGCACCGCAGCGCACAUGAAGGCCGAGGGAGAGCCAAACAUAGCCGGUCAGCACCACCGCGCGCAGGACUGGGCAGGAUCCAGGCCAAACUGUGCAGCUCGCACCACCGCGCGCAAGAACAGGACUAUUCGUGCUAGAUCUGGCCUGUCCGGGCCUUCUGUAGCACACGACAAACUGAACGGCGCCACAGCUCCAGGAGCCGGACGUGGACGCGCUUGAAGGAGAGACAACCACCAACCAUCCCCGACACCACCGCUACAGCCACCACACAUCGCCGGACUAGGCGCGAAACGCAGCCACACUCCAACGGCGCCUGAUGCCACCUCGAGCCAUCCCUCCAGCCACAGGUUGGCAGAGGUCAGAUCUGGCCAGAACCAACCGCAGCGCCCCCGCACCCCCACUGUGCCCAAACGAGCAGCAGGUGCCAGCAAAGGCAUCCGCAACCCACGCGCCACGCCCGAUGCGGGCAGCCUCGCGCCAUGGCACCAGCUCGCCGCACACCCCGGCGCCAACUCGCCGCGCCCGUCGCGCACCCCGACGCCAUCUCGCCGCGCCCGCCGCGCCAUCUCGCCACCGUCGCCGCGCCCGCCGCGCACCCCGACGCCAUCUCGCCGCGCCCGUCGCGACCACCGGCACCGGUUCGCCGCGCGCCUCCACGCCUCUCCUCGGCCGAGCGGCCCCGCGCUGCCCGACCUCGCUGGAGGAAAGAAAAAACGGAAGGCCC
rnacentral:rRNA from 1 species